rnacentral:rRNA from 1 species
UACGUAGGGUGCGAGCGUUAAUCGGAUUUACUGGGCGUAAAGCGUGCGCAGGCGGCCCGUUAAGACAGGUGUGAAAUCCCUGGGCUCAACCUAGGAAUUGCGCUUGUGACUGGCGGGCUCGAGUACGGUAGAGGGGGGUGGAAUUCCUGGUGUAGCAGUGAAAUGCGUAGAGAUCAUGAGGAACACCGAUGGCGAAGGCAGCCCCCUGGGCCUGUACUGACGCUCAUGCACGAAAGCGUGGGGAGCAAACAGG